GAAGAGAUUCCUACGGGACGCAGCAGUGGGGAAUCAGGACAAUGGGGCCAACCCUGAUCCAGCAAUGUGAGGUGAAUGAUCAAGGCGUUAGGGUUGUAAAGUUAUUUUGGCCAAGCGAAGAUGACGGUACCGGGAGAAUAAGCCCCGGCUAACUCCGUGCCAGCAGCCGCGGUAAUAAU
rnacentral:rRNA from 1 species